UUAGCGGCGGACGGGUGAGUAACACGUGGGCAAUCUGCCCGUAAGACUGGGAUAACUCCGGGAAACCGGGGCUAAUACCGGAUAAUCCCGACUCUCUCCUGAGAGUCGGUUGAAAGAUGGUUUCGGCUAUCACUUACGGAUGAGCCCGCGGCGCAUUAGCUAGUUGGUGAGGUAACGGCUCACCAAGGCGACGAUGCGUAGCCGACCUGAGAGGGUGAUCGGCCACACUGGGACUGAGACACGGCCCAGACUCCUACGGGAGGCAGCAGUAGGGAAUCUUCCGCAAUGGACGAAAGUCUGACGGAGCAACGCCGCGUGAGUGAAGAAGGUUUUCGGAUCGUAAAACUCUGUUGUUAGGGAAGAACACGUACGAGAGUAACUGCUCGUACCUUGACGGUACCUAACCAGAAAGCCACGGCUAACUACGUGCCAGCAGCCGCGGUAAUACGUAGGUGGCAAGCGUUGUCCGGAAUUAUUGGGCGUAAAGCGCGCGCAGGUGGUUCCUUAAGUCUGAUGUGAAAGCCCCCGGCUCAACCGGGGAGGGUCAUUGGAAACUGGGGAACUUGAGUGC
rnacentral:rRNA from 1 species